CAGGCACUGUGUUGGGAACUGGCUAUCCUAAGAUGAAGAUAACAAGGCGUCUGCCCCAGGAACCCCCCGCACGGAGGUGGCUGUGUCGGCAAUAGUGGUGUCACAGUAGAACAAGAGUAGAUGGUUCGGUGUAUGCAAAUAUCACAGUUCCAGGUAACUUGAAGGAGCAGUUUGGAUUUAGAAACCCACACCUGUGACUGAUGGGAGUGGUGGACAAAUACCCCCAACGUCCUCUCUCUACUCUUGGCUGAGGACAAUUCUGAAGUGAGCUCUACACUGUCUCCCAGAUGCAGUCUGACCUGAGCCACGAAGAAGUGCAGAGUCCCCAAGAGGCCAGAGAGCUCACGUCUGGUUAGAGUCAGGGUGUUUGAUGGGAAGAUGAAAGGAGGAGCUGGCAUCUGAGCUCUUGUAAAUGAAGAAAUUAAAACUGCAAGUUGAAACUGAGUCACUGAUGGUGCCAGAUGUUUCUGGAGCAAAACUGGGAAAGAGGGUGAGCAUUGGAAAGACACCUCCUCCUGUUAUCUUCUAGAAGCCAUUUACUGGGAAAACAAAAACUGAGCUCCAUGAUGCAUAAAUUCCAAAAUGCAGAGGCAAAUUUCUUUCCCUUUGACCACAUGUCAGAAAGGCUCGGGGUUCAGUAACUGGAGCUUGCUUUAUUCCAGAAAGGAUUUGAGAUAACUUCAUCAGAAGUGAAAGUCUUAAUUUUGGGUUCCAAAGAAAACAUUUCAGAAUGUGUCGCCAAAUCUUAGCUCAUCAUAAUUCGGAAUUGGACAACAUUUCUGAGCACGUGUCCCAGUAAAUGUUUAUAUUUCUCUUCUGAAACCACCUGGAAUUAAUAUUGGUCCACAGAGUGAGAUGGAGAUGGAACAUUAUUUUUUCCUAAACAACCAUUUGCCCCAGGCCUGCUGGUUGAAUUUCUCCUUUCUUCACUGAUUUGCUAUGUCAACUUGUAAUAAAAGAACAUUCUUAUGUGUUCUUGGACUUU